AUGCUACUAUGCAGUCGAACGAUGAUCCCCAGCUUGCUGGGGGGAUUAGUGGCGAACGGGUGAGUAACACGUGAGUAACCUGCCCUUGACUCUGGGAUAAGCCUGGGAAACUGGGUCUAAUACUGGAUACGACCUUCUGGCGCAUGCCAUGUGGGUGGAAAGCUUUUGUGGUUUUGGAUGGACUCGCGGCCUAUCAGCUUGUUGGUGGGGUAAUGGCCUACCAAGGCGACGACGGGUAGCCGGCCUGAGAGGGUGGACGGCCACACUGGGACUGAGACACGGCCCAGACUCCUACGGGAGGCAGCAGUGGGGAAUAUUGCACAAUGGGCGCAAGCCUGAUGCAGCGACGCCGCGUGAGGGAUGAAGGCCUUCGGGUUGUAAACCUCUUUCAGUAGGGAAGAAGCGAAAGUGACGGUACCUGCAGAAGAAGCGCCGGCUAACUACGUGCCAGCAGCCGCGGUAAUACGUAGGGCGCAAGCGUUAUCCGGAAUUAUUGGGCGUAAAGAGCUCGUAGGCGGUUUGUCGCGUCUGCCGUGAAAGUCCGGGGCUUAACUCCGGAUCUGCGGUGGGUACGGGCAGACUUGAGUGAUGUAGGGGAGACUGGAAUUCCUGGUGUAGCGGUGAAAUGCGCAGAUAUCAGGAGGAACACCGAUGGCGAAGGCAGGUCUCUGGGCAUUAACUGACGCUGAGGAGCGAAAGCAUGGGGAGCGAACAGGAUUAGAUACCCUGGUAGUCCAUGCCGUAAACGUUGGGCACUAGGUGUGGGGGACAUUCCACGUUUUCCGCGCCGUAGCUAACGCAUUAAGUGCCCCGCCUGGGGAGUACGGCCGCAAGGCUAAAACUCAAGGAAUUGACGGGGGCCCGCACAAGCGGCGGAGCAUGCGGAUUAAUUCGAUGCAACGCGAAGAACCUUACCAAGGCUUGACAUGAACCGGAACGGCGCAGAGAUGUGUCGGCCACUUGUGGCCGGUUUACAGGUGGUGCAUGGUUGUCGUCAGCUCGUGUCGUGAGAUGUUGGGUUAAGUCCCGCAACGAGCGCAACCCUCG
rnacentral:rRNA from 1 species